AGGCGCAGUGGUGCCGCUUUAAAACCGGAAAUAUAUGUUCAAUAUUGGACACCGGUGUGCUAAUUGUGAUAAAACUUAAUGCCAUGUGAUAUAAUCAGAUGCACUUUUUUGGAUGAUGACAGAUUUAUCUGGAUUGAACAAAGUGGUGUUAUUUAACUUCCAACCAUUGGAUUAAGGAUAUUUAUCAUUGACAUUUGUUUGUCGUCAUUCAACGUGACCACAAACUGAAAGUGAUCGUGUCUUUUAGGUGAAAAGGUUUCAUUUCCUACCAAGAGUUUGGCAGCUGUCCAUCUUGGAGUUGAAAGUGCAGGCAUACGUGUGCACCGGGACGUAAGAGGCCGACGUGUUGAGGAUGGGGUCUCGAACGACGACGGAGUAAAUGACGCCCUGGCCGGGGACGGAGUUGAAGGUCGCCAUCCUCACGUCUCUUGACGACAGGGUCAAAAUCUGCGAGGAGCGUGAAAGAUGGGGAGAAGAAACGGGGAGAAUAACGCCAGUGCCUGCAACCGGGCCUCCGUCAGCCGAGAACAGGAACAAGGUGAAGGCGGCUUGUCCUGGCAGGAGAGCGGACAGGAUGCCAGUGUCCACCGCAGUCGAGGAGAGACCCGGUACGGGUGUCUGAUGACCAGAAAAAACAAAUAACACAUCACGGCAUAUCAUAGCAGGAAGAAUAAGGUCAAGCAGAAAAGUGAAUCCUCCACACCAACUGCUUGAUCCUGACUGACUGUUGCGGCUUUGCUGCCUUGAUUCUUCUGGUCCAACUUCAAGUGGAGGAAUGUGAGUCACAAGAGCUUGUUUGUGCUAGAAACCGUAACGCGACACUAACACCUAAUACCGCUUGCUUAUUAAAUAUCAUAUGUUAACUGGU